AACGAACGCUGGCGGCAGGCUUAACACAUGCAAGUCGAACGCCCCGCAAGGGGAGUGGCAGACGGGUGAGUAACGCGUGGGAACAUACCCUUUUCUACGGAAUAGCUCUGGGAAACUGGAAUUAAUACCGUAUACGCCCUACGGGGGAAAGAUUUAUCGGGGAAGGAUUGGCCCGCGUUGGAUUAGCAAGUUGGUGGGGUAAGGGCCGACCAAGGCGACGAUCCAUAGCUGGUCUGAGAGGAUGAUCAGCCACAUUGGGACUGAGACACGGCCCAAACUCCUACGGGAGGCAGCAGUGGGGAAUAUUGGACAAUGGGCGCAAGCCUGAUCCAGCCAUGCCGCGUGAGUGAUGAAGGCCUUGGGGUUGUAAAGCUCUUUCACCGAUGAAGAUAAUGACGGUAGUCGGAGAAGAAGCCCCGGCUAACUUCGUGCCAGCCGCCGCCGUAAGAC
rnacentral:rRNA from 1 species